UACGAAGGGUGCAAACGUUGCUCGGAAUUAUUGGGGCGUAAAGCGCACGUAGGCGGCUUGGCAAGUCGGAUGUGAAAUCCCUCGGCUCAACCAAGGAAGUGCAUCCGAAACUGCUGAGCUUGAGUACGAAAAGAGGAUCGCGGAAUUCCCGGUGUAGAGGUGAAAUUCGUAGAUAUCGGGGAGGAACACCAGUGGCGAAGGCGGCGAUCUGGGUCGAUACUGACGCUGAGGUGCGAAAGCGUGGGGAGCAAACAGG
rnacentral:rRNA from 1 species